rnacentral:rRNA from 1 species
UACGUAGGGUGCGAGCGUUGUCCGGAAUUACUGGGCGUAAAGAGCUCGUAGGUGGUUUGUCGCGUUGUUCGUGAAAUCUCACGGCUUAACUGUGAGCGUGCGGGCGAUACGGGCAGACUGGAGUACUGCAGGGGAGACUGGAAUUCCUGGUGUAGCGGUGAAAUGCGCAGAUAUCAGGAGGAACACCGGUGGCGAAGGCGGGUCUCUGGGCCGAAACUGACGCUGAGGAGCGAAAGCGUGGGGAGCAAACAGG